AGUGAACGCUGGCGGUAGGCCUAACACAUGCAAGUCGAACGGCAGCACAGUAAGAGCUUGCUCUUACGGGUGGCGAGUGGCGGACGGGUGAGGAAUACAUCGGAAUCUACUUUUUCGUGGGGGAUAGCGUAGGGAAACUUACGCUAAUACCGCAUACGACCUACGGGUGAAAGCAGGGGAACUUCGGACCUUGCGCGAUUGAAUGAGCCGAUGUCGGAUUAGCUAGUUGGCGGGGUAAAGGCCCACCAAGGCGACGAUCCGUAGCUGGUCUGAGAGGAUGAUCAGCCACACUGGAACUGAGACACGGUCCAGACUCCUACGGGAGGCAGCAGUGGGGAAUAUUGGACAAUGGGCGCAAGCCUGAUCCAGCCAUACCGCGUGGGUGAAGAAGGCCUUCGGGUUGUAAAGCCCUUUUGUUGGGAAAGAAAAGCAGCAGGUUAAUACCCCGCUGUUCUGACGGUACCCAAAGAAUAAGCACCGGCUAACUUCGUG
rnacentral:rRNA from 1 species